rnacentral:rRNA from 1 species
GAUGAACGCUGGCGGCGUGCUUAACACAUGCAAGUCGAACGGGAAACCUUUUAUUGAAGCUUCGGCAGAUUUAGCUGGUUUCUAGUGGCGGACGGGUGAGUAACGCGUGGGUAACCUGCCUUAUACAGGGGGAUAACAACCAGAAAUGGUUGCUAAUACCGCAUAAGCGCACAGGACCGCAUGGUCCGGUGUGAAAAACUCCGGUGGUAUAAGAUGGACCCGCGUGGGAUUAGCUAGUUGGCAGGGGAACGGCCUACCAAGGCGACGAUGCAUAGCCGGGCGGGGGGGGUGAAAGGCUACAUUGGGACUGAGGCCCGGACCAGAAUGGUACGGGAGGGAGCGGUGGGGAGUAUUGCGGGAGGGGGGAUGCCGUGAGGGGGCGACGUCGGGGGAAGGGAGAAGUAUCUCGGUAUGUAAACUUCUAUGAGCAGGGAAGGUAGUGACGGUACCGGACUAAGAAGCACCGGCUAACUACGUG